UACGGAGGGUGCAAGCGUUAUCCGGAUUUAUUGGGUUUAAAGGGUCCGCAGGCGGACCGAUAAGUCAGUGGUGAAAGCCUUCAGCUUAACUGGAGAAUUGCCAUUGAUACUGUUGGUCUUGAGUUCGGUUGAAGUGGGCGGAAUAUGUAGUGUAGCGGUGAAAUGCAUAGAUAUUACAUAGAACACCUAUUGCGAAGGCAGCUCACUAAGCCGAUACUGACGCUCAGGGACGAAAGCGUGGGGAGCGAACAGG
rnacentral:ncRNA from 2 species